GGAAGUUAGAGGGUGUGGAGGUGGAUGUCGAUCGCGAUUGACGGACUUAUGGAAGACGACGUCGUCGUUUGGGAGGGUGAUGAUGGUGGCUCUGACGCUGUAGGAUGCGAAGAGUCGGGCGAGAUCUAUCAUUAGGAUAAAAUGGCCACCGCCCACGAAUCGAAAGAAGAACAUUUCGACUUUGCGAGCCUUGGAGUCCAUGGUUGUAGAGGAGAGUGACAUAGAGAGAGAGAGGUGUUUAGAAGGAAUGAGCCAUGUUCCAGAGCAUAUAUACACAGAAGGAUUGGAUUUAAAACCUGUUGAACAAAGAAGUGUGGAAAUUGCGACGUGGACAUGUACAGACUCCAGCGUCCAUUGUGCAGUAUUAAAGUGGUUGUGGACUCUGUAUUAAUCAUGUAAUUUUAAUAUAAAACAACGUAAUUUGAAAUGUAACUAGUAAUUAUUCAUGAUCACGGAUACUAUAUAAAAAAAUUAUCUUUUAUAUGUACUCGUUAGAGUUUUAUAAUUUAAAAAAUAGAUAAGAUAAUAAAAUAUAUAUUGCAUACAUAUAUGAAGAUAUACAUUACUACAAAUGGAGAACAAAUUAGAAAUUACAAUAAUUUUGAAAAAAAUUUGCUAGUGAAAAAUGAGAGGGAAAAAGAGUUGUUUUAAUUUUUUUGGGUGUGGGUCCCACUAAAAAUGAUCCAAUUGAUAAAAUAUAUACCUAGAUUUAAAGUUUUUUUUUCAUCGAAUAAGAACGUAUAUGAGUCCCACACAUUGAAGAAUAAGAAAAUAAUAUUUUUUAAAAAAAUAAAUAAUCUCAGAUGAAAUCUGUAUCGUUAGAUUAACUCAAAUUGAUUUUAACAGUAAAUAACGGAAGAUAGUUUUAAUAUUCAAAAUAAGUUGUAUUUUAUAAUAUAGAAGAAAAUGAUCAAAAUAAGUUCCCCCCUUUUGGAGUAAAAUUUUCAACACUGGGCCUGGUAUCUAAUAAGGUCUUUGGGGGAGGGAGGGGGGGGGGAAGGGUCCCUUUUUUUCCUUAGUUUCAAUAUAAAGUCUAAACUUAGAAGUUAUAGUUUUAAUCUAAUCGCAAUGUAAUCUCCCAUCAAUAACCUUUAGGGGUCGUUUGGCUGUCGGAUAAUAUCAGGGGGAUAAGUUUUAGAGAGGAAUAACUUUUAACUUUGUUUGGAUACUUUUUAGAAUGGGUGGAUAAGUGUGGAGAUAAGGAAGAAAAUAUAUAGAGAGCAACAAAAUGUAAAAUAUUUAGAUAUUAAAAUAUAUAUAUAUAUAUACAUAUAUCUAUAUCUAUAUCUAUAUCUAUAUCUAUAUAUUAUGUAUAAAUACCUUUAUAUUAGUAUUUAUAGAUGUAUAUAUGUAUAUAUCUUAUUUGUUUAUAUCUAGAUAUUUUAUAUUUUUGUAUUUAUAUAUAUAGAUUUUUUCUUAUCUCCCAACCUUAUCCUCCCGUAUAAACUUUUAACUAGAGUGAAGGUCACCUGCAGAAUAUUCUCCUCUAUCCUUCCGCUGGGAAAAAGUUUGCCGAAAUUUCAUCAUCCAACGCCGGAUAGAAAAAUAAGUCGGGAAAAAAAGGUUAUAUCUGCUCCCUUUAAAUCCUUCAGCCAAACAGGCCUUUAAUGGCAUGUUUGGCUGAAGGAUUUGGAAAGGGGAUACUUUUUCCCCCGAAUAAUUUUUCCUCCGACUUGCUGACAGAUAAUUUAUGCCCCCGGAUAAUUUAUCCCCCAGCAUGUGGAUAGAGGCGGAUAAUUUUGGUAGCCUAGACCCUAACUAAAGUUAUCCGGGGGAUAAGGGGUAGGGGAUAAACAAUAUAUAUAUAAAGAGAAAUAAAAAUAUAUAUAUGUAUAUAUAUAGAUAUGAAAAAUCAAUAUAUAUUUAAAUCUAAAUAUUUUAUUUUGUUUUUCUAUCAUAUAUUUUUCUUAUCUCCCACCCUUAUCAACCCAUUCUAAAAAGCUAUAUAAACAAAAGUUCUUAAAAGUAUCCCCUCCAAAAAGUUAUCUCAUUCAAAUUAUGUCCUCCCUCUAAAACUUAUCCCCUCUCCUAUCCGCCAGCCAAACGAGCCCUAAAGGUAAAAAGUGAGCACAUGAAGCUUGUAGUGAGCACGUGAAACUCACAAAAUCAUUUUUAAAGAGUAAUUUUACUAUAAUUGAUCCCUGUAAUUUGGAAAAAUCAAAAAUUGGCCAAUGGCCCAGGUAGUUUCACUUCAAACGGAACCAAAGUGAAACAUUGAUCAAACUUUAAGAACCAAUGGUGAUAAAAUUAUCCUUUAAAAAUAGUCGUGUGAGCUUUAUGUACUUGUUUUUUGUCAAAAUUCUUAACGAAUAUUGACGAAGUGACUACAUUGAAACUAGAUUACAAUAACAUAGUUUUAAUUGUUCAAAUUAGAACUAUAAGAAUCAAAGUAAAUCUUUGAUCAAACAACAGGGACCAACAUUGAAAUUUACCCUUUUGGGCAAAAUGUUCUAUUUGUAAAUUGCAUCACACUUUUUAGAAUUUGCUUUUGAGAACAUUC
rnacentral:lncRNA from 1 species